AGCGAACGCUGGCGGCAGGCUUAACACAUGCAAGUCGAGCGGGCACUUUCGGGUGUCAGCGGCGGACGGGUGAGUAACGCGUGGGAACGUGCCCUCUGGUUCGGAAUAACUCAGGGAAACUUGAGCUAAUACCGGAUACGCCCUUUUGGGGAAAGGCUUGCUGCCGGAGGAUCGGCCCGCGUCUGAUUAGCUAGUUGGUGAGGUAACGGCUCACCAAGGCGACGAUCAGUAGCUGGUCUGAGAGGAUGAUCAGCCACACUGGGACUGAGACACGGCCCAGACUCCUACGGGAGGCAGCAGUGGGGAAUAUUGGACAAUGGGCACAAGCCUGAUCCAGCCAUGCCGCGUGAGUGAUGAAGGCCUUAGGGUUGUAAAGCUCUUUUAUCCGGGACGAUAAUGACGGUACCGGAGGAAUAAGCCCCGGCUAACUUCGUG
rnacentral:rRNA from 1 species